rnacentral:lncRNA from 1 species
GUGUAGGAGAAACUCAGAUGUGCAGCUACAGCGAGGAGAGCAACUGGGGUUCGAGGUGCUGCCUGGGGAAGCAGUAUUUAGGCAGAACAGAAGGAAGCAGAGCUAAUAAUAUAGUUUGUUUUCUUAGAGCUUAUGUUUCGCUACUAGCAUCUGAUACGCUUGUAGAACUGCUAUAAAGAAGGAUGGGUGUUUCGACAAAAAUGAGAUGUUUACUCGAGCAUUUUGCAGAAAAUGUGUCCUUUCUACUCACUCCUCCUCAUUGCUCUCUUUUUGUGACAGUUGGCUCUCUGAGGAACUCGGGCUGAACGUCCCCAGAAGAAGGGUGCGCCGAGUUCAUCCCGAUGAAGCUCUCCGCGGGAGAGGUGAGCGCAUCACGUGUCUCCGGAGGAAGAGCCGCUUCCUUCCCGUCGGCCCGGCCGUGUCCCGGCCCCGCGGAGGGUGGCCGGCCGCGGCGGCUCGUCUCGCGCGAGCGGCUUCCAGGAGAUGGCAUCUCAGUACAAGCUCCGCUUGGGAGCGCUGGGCACCUGGGAGCCUCCCCGGAAGGAUGCUGCGAUGCGCAAGCACACAAACCCCACCGCCACGGCUCGGGGACGCACGCCCCGGCCGGCUGCGCCACGACCCGCCAACGCUCCAGAGCUGCCGCGGCCGUGACCGACCCGGCCUCGACACCGGCAACCCGGCUCCGGCGGGACCCCCCAAACCGCCCGCGGCAGCGCUUUCGGAGACCGGCUGCAGCCCCGGCCGCGGGGUGCCUGGGGCAAUAAACAGGGAAGCAAUAAAAAAA